GGGGACAGAGAGGUCAAGAAAACUCCACUAACUCAAUCUUGAAAAUGAGUCAAAUAGGUUCAAAGCGAUCCAAACUACAAGUAUAGCUUCACAUAUACACGGUGAAUAUUUGUUCAAAAGAUCUUCCAAAGAAGAUCAAGAUGUCACCAUGUAUUUCAUAUACUUGGCCAAGAACACAAGAGAAAGAGAGUUUUGGGAAAAACCAAAUCAAGCCAAAUCUGAAAGGGAUUGGAGGACGGAAAUGUUGCUCACAAGGGUCCUAGCAACAAAAGCCUCCAACAAAUCUCACGGAUUUCGCAGCCAAAUGCAAAGAACAAAAAAUCCCCAAAAAUACCUCUGAAAAUCCCAAAAAGAUAAAACUUAGAUCUUGAGAUGGAGAAGCAAUUGAACGAAAUUGAUUCUUAGAUUACUCCACCAUAUCCGGUUACAAGACACUCCUAGGCACAAACAAAACUAAGAUGGCAAAAAGAUCAAAUCAAAGAUCCCUCAUCUCUCUCCAUCUCUCCCCCCUAAAUGCUCUCACAACCAAAAUGAGAAGUCCACCUCCCAACAACCCCCAAAGAGAUGUGGCUGCCCCAAUAGCCCACUCCUCAUAUAUAUAGACAUUUGGCAAAUGUCUAAAAUACCCUUACAUUAAGCAAAGAACCCAAAUACCCCCAAGGGUAAAAUCGUCCAACUUUUACCUCGUACAUCGGAUGGACCCGACACCUUCACGACUUAGCGUUAGUGCCACACAUCCUCCGACUUGACGCCGUCCAGCCGCACCAGACUCAUCCCCCCAUUUUUAAGGCCGAACCGAUCAAACCCUCUUGCAUACCCCGCAGGUGCGACUCAUCCCCGAUUUUGAGGCCAAACCUGUCAAACCCUCUUGCACACUCGGCAGGCAUGACUCACCCCCAGUUUUAAGGUUAAACCUGUCAAACCCUCUUGCACGCUGCACAUGACAUGACUCACCGAUGUUGACGCGUGUCCGACCUCCACAAAGCCUUCGACGCCUCCAAGUCUUUUGCUCCCGACUCCCGGGCCGCCUACUCGACUCACCUCCAUCCCGCUUGACUCGACCGAUGCCGUCUCCAUCCUGUUUGUGUACUCUUGCUUUUCCGUGCACCAUGUGGAUCACCCAUGACUUUGCAAGGACUGCUCGGGUCCCUCGGUCCAAGCCUACUCAUGUCCACCCUUCAUAGCCCUAGUACAUCGGCAUGAACCUUUCGCUUGACUUUCACCUCAUGCCAUCGACCGCCAUGUUGCAUCCUACACCUGCGCAUCACAAGCCAAGAGACAUAACACACAAGAUAUAUUUUACACACACCACACCACAACACAACACAACACAACACACACCUCCGGUUAGCCGUUAGUAUAAUCAAGCAAAAGAGAACUAAUUCAAGUGCCCAAAAGCUAAGUAAAAGUAAACACAAGGCAACUUGAAAUGAGAAGGGAUCAUGCACGCUCCAAACAAAAGAGUCUUGGUUCACAAAGAGGAGACAAAGGAUCAACAUAACCAAAGAGUCAAGCAAAAGACACAAGAUCUUCAUGAAUCCCAAAAACCAUCAAAGCCAUUUCAAAAAUUGUCAAACGCUCAACACAAUCAAAUCAAGGUUCAUAUCAACUUGAUUUCUCAAUCUCCCCCUUGAUGGUGUGUUGACAACAUUCAAGCACAAAGAAAUAGUUUGAGAGGCAAAAUUUAAAAAGCCAAGUAAAAGCCAAGAUUUAAAGUCAUUUGAAAUGAGAAGAACCAUAAAAUCCAAGUUGUGACACCAAUUAGGUAAGACUCUCAUCCAAGUGAUCAAAAAACACAUAAAGGCAAAGAUCAAAGUCACUCGGCAUGAGAAGCAUCACAAAGGCCAAAUCCACUUAGAAAGUCUCGGUCCCCAAAGACUUGGGCAACGACUCAACACAAUCGAGACAAAACACACAUGAUCCCUCAAGAAGAGGCAAAAAGGGUUCAACACCAAUCAUGUGAAGAUCGAAACACAUGAUCCCUCAAGAAGGGGCAGCAAGGGCUCAACACCAAUCAUGUAACGAUCAAAAGCUCAAACCAAACGCCGUUCCUCGGGAAGAGGUAAAAGCUCAACACAACCGGCAAAAGAGCAAAAGAGAGCACAAAACUCACAAGCUCCUGCUAAAAGCAUGCACUCCCCCUGAAAACAUGCCACAAUGAAAUGCAUGCACAAGAGCAAAAGAAUGCAUGCUCCCUCAAAUGCGAAACUCCCCAUUAAAUGCAAGACCCCCCCUUAAAUGCAAACAUCAAGAUUUGCAUGGGAGCACAAAAUGCAUGCCAUGGGGUGUACAACCUACCAAGCUUCUCAAAUAUAUCACAAAGCACUUACAAAGGCUACAAGUGAGAUAAUGCACAAGCAGGUAGAUUAUAAAGAGCAAUUGCAUCGCCAUCAAGAGGAUAUUAUGAUAUAAGCAAAAGACGAAGCAAGUUGUCAAGUUUUGCAGUUUAUAAAAGUAUCACCAUGAGCAAGCACAAAAACUAGGCCAUGAACCACUCAAGCAAGAAGUAAACUAGCCCACCAGAGCUCAUACAAGGAAGAUACAUUCUCAACAAGAGAUUAUCGCAAACACCCACAUAUGCAUCACAAGUCAUGUUUAAAGCUUGUUGAAACCAAGUGCCUACUUCUUUUGGUAGGCAUCAUGUAACAACUAAGCAAGCAAGAAUAUUACAUUAAGCACAAAAACUUGGUGAAUUACUGAAUUACUGACUUGUUCUUUAGCAUUAAGCACAAAUAUCUUUAGCAUUAAGCACAAAUAUCUUUCAUUCACAUUAACCAAGUCACAUGAAGUGCCUUUGCGGCACAAAGAAGCCAUGCUUCCCCAACGAAUGCAUCAUGGACUAAACAUUUGCGAUGAUACCUAGAUCAUAGACCCAAUUGCAAAGAACAUGAAUUCCAAGAAGAAGCUAAACAUAGAGCUAGCAUUCAAGCAAGAGCAAUGCAUAAAUAGGUAGCUAGUCAUGGGUGAUAAGCAUUUUAGAAUUCAUUAUUCAAGAUUAACAUUUGAUUCAGAAAAGCAUUUCGCUCAACAUGGUUAUAUGACAAUAUCAUCAAGAGCAUAUGUUGUACAUUGCUACACAAUCACCAACCAAUGCACUAGUUCACAAAUAGCAUAAGGAAAUGCUAAGGGUAUAUAUGGGAAGUUCAUCUAGUGCAAAGUGUACAAGGUGCAGUAUGAUACAAAUGCAAUGCUAAAAGAGACCGAGUUCAACUCAAAAUGAAGAAAGCUCUUGAGGGGUCAAACCAAUCUAGGAAAAGCUCCGUGGCAAAAGAAGAACCACCAAGGAUCCCAAUUGAGUACCAUAGAAAUGAUACCAAUUGAAGGAUCAAAAAUUGGUAUCACUUGAAGAAGAUGAACUCAAAUUGAAAAUGUGAUACCAAUUAAAAUAUCAAAAGCGGAUAUCAAAAACCAAAGAAAGCCCUGGUCCAAACUCUGCCUCGAAUGAAGCCGAACUCCCCCUCAAUCAAAGACAUCUUAGCAAAAGAAAAAACUAGGAAAAGAAUGGGCAAAAGAAAAACUCCAAAUCAAAAGGCAGAGAAAAUCCAAGAAAGGAGCAAAAAUGCAACCCAAAGACAAAGCAAGCCCAAAAACAUUAUAAAGCUCAAAUCAUGCCACACAAUGCAAUGAUGAUACCAAUGAGAGGAAUUAAAGCAUUGUAACAUGAUUCCACAUUUAUGAAUAAAAGAUUGGGCUAGCAAAUAUGUCAACAAGGUGCAGAUGAUCAUACUGAGAUACUAAGCUAAAAUGAUACCAAAUGAACAAAGUGCCAAUACCCAAUAUGAAGCCUAAGUUAAAGCAUGGCACGAUGUUCAUGUGGAUCAUCCACCAAGAUAUAUUAGGGUGCGUUUGGUUCUAAAGACGAAGUGGGAUGGGAUGGGACGAUCCCACUUCAUCCCGUGUUUGGUUGGAAGACAGGUGGGACGGGGACAUCCCUACGAGUGAAUAUACCCUCUAGAUCCGGGAUGACCCCAUCCCACCAAAAUGAGCGGACGGGGGCAUCCCACUUCGCCCCCGUCACGCGCUAGUCUGCUCCGUCACGGAGGGGUCCAACUUCGAUAAGGAAGAAGCAAUUUUGGAAGCACCAACAUCAAAGUGACAAGAUUGCGAGAAUCAAAAUACUUAGCACAAAUACUCCUGCAUCUUGUGGCCAAAACCUCAUUUUCAUAUUUGAGGCGGUCAAAAGUACCACAUGGAGCAUUUCUCAAAUUAUCCAUCUCCUUUUCAAUGCACUUAGCAUAUGUGGUACGCAAGAGAUCAUUUUCUUUCUCAAGGUUAGCACUCAUCUCAUUGUGCUUAACCAACUUGGUACUCAUAUCAUUGCGCAUUUGCUUCAAAGCUAAAACUUCACUUUCCAAUUCAAUGCAUGAUGUGCAAAUAAGUCCACAUGAACAAUCAUCAUUAUUCACAUCAAGUAGGAUAGCAUGAUUAUCACAAGAAGUAAGGCAAAUAUUAUCAUCAAGAAUCAGAGAGCACAUGCUACAAGGCAUAUACUUCAUUUCACCAUUCAGCCCUAGCAUGCUCGAGUUCAUCUACAAAUGUGGUGUGAGUCAAUUUUAAUUCAUUAAUUUCAACAAGAAAAGACUCACAUGAAGCACAUGGUAAAGAAGCAUUGGACUUCAACAAAGCAAUUUCAUCUCUAACCUUAUCAAGAUCAUUAUGCAAGGCACACAUGAAUUGCAUGGCAUAGAGGCAUUAGCUUUUGAUAAGUCAUUUUCAGAUUUUAAAGCAUCAUUAUCAAUGGAGAGAUCAUCAAUUAAUCUUCUACAAUAUUCAAGUUGCUUGUCACCAAGAAAAAUGUCUCUUUUUAGUUUCUCAUUUUCAAUAUGGAAGACAUCACAAGAUUUGCACGGAAAAGGCAAAUUCUUCUUAAGCUCAACAAUUGUCUCGCCAUGAGCACAGAGGCAAGUGAACAAACCAAUUAUACCUUGGGAGAGUUUACCUCUACUCAUCUUGUGAAGCUUAUGCCGAAGAUCAUCUUCUUGAUGUACCUCUUCCAUCAAAAGACACGUCAAAGCCAUCGCUUCAUCAUCCUUGUUAAGCUCAUCACACUUCUUUCUCCACUUGUGUUCAUCCCCCAAUGCACUCACCCUACCAUCAAAACAUGAGGACAAAGACACUCAAGAAGAAGAUCUUGGUGCCAUAGCUCAAAGCACUGGUUAAGAUUAGCAAACAUCAAGCUCAAAUCUCAAAAACCAAAUCCGCAAGCAAAACGUCCUUACACUUGUCGCCCCGUGGAUCACAAAGCCGAUUAAGGGGGUGUGAUCCUUAACCAAACUCUGAUACCAAUUGAAGGACCGGGACGGGCGACCAGAGAAGGGGGGUGAAUGGGAGCCUUUAAAAUUCUUUUCUAAGAACAAGGCCUAUAACCCGAUUGCCACCCUAAACGCACCUCACUUCUGAUUGCCGAGAUGACACAAGUCAACUCGUGAUAAGCUCACUCUAGGAACGAUUAGAAAACACUCAAAGCAUAGCGGAAACAAAAUAAUAAAGCAUGCGUUAAGAAACUCUACCAAAUUAACCUGUCAAAAGAGCUCAUGAAAAUAAACAAGUUAACUAGACCAAACAUGCAAGAGCUCAUGUACACAACUGUUGUUGUACUACUACUGUGCGUAUGUGCUGUUGUCUUCUAAACUCAAACUGAAAGAAUGCUCAAGCACACAAGCUAGUACACAUCAGCUAGCACGAAAGUUCGGAAACUCCCCAAAGAUCUCCGGAGAAUCCGCUACUUCUGAAGAAUCCACACAAAUCUUAGGAGAAUCCGCACCUACGGAGUUUCCAAAAAAUUCUCCGGAGAAUCCAUAAAAAUAUCUGGAAAUUUCUACAACUCCAAAAACAUCUUGCGUGAAGAAGUUGGAAAAAUUUGAAACUCAAUCAAACGACCGCCAAAAAUCGUAAAAUUUGAAGCGUAGGCUCACAACAACAUACCAAGGCUAUUCCCAAAGGCUCGCUUCAAAAAACCCAAGAAUUGGUCACUAGAUUCAAAGGAUUUGGAGAGGGGGACAAAGAGCUCAAAAAAACUCCACUAACUCAAUCUUGAAAAUGAGUCAAACGGGAUUUAAAACAAAUAAAACUACAGCUAUAUAUUCACAUAUACACGGUAAAUCUUUGUCCAAAAUAUCUCCCCAAGAAGAUCAAGAUUUCACCAUGAAUUUCAUAUACUUUGCCAAGAACACAAGAGAAAGAGAGUUUUGACAAAAACCAAAUCGAGCCAAAUCCGAGAGGGAUUGGAGGAGUGAAACACUUUAAAGUUGCUCACAAGGGUCCUAGCAACAAAAGCCUUCAACAAAUCUCACAGAAUUCGCAGCCAAAUGCGAAGAACAAAAAAUCCCCAAAAAUACCUUCAAAAAUCCCAAAAAGAUAAAACUUAGAUCUUGAGAUGGAGAAGCAAUUGACCGAAAUUGAUUCUUGGAUUACUCCACCAUGUCCGGUUACAAGCCACUCUUAGGCACAAACAAAGCUAAGAUGGCAAAAAAGAUCAAAUCAAAGAUCCCUUAUCUCUCUCUCUCCGUCUCUCUCCCCUAAAGGCUCUCACAACCCAAAUGAAAAGUUCACCUCCCAACAACACCCAAAGAGAUGUGGCUGCCCUAACAACCCACUCCUCAUAUAUAUAGAUAUUUGGCAAAUGUCCAAAAUGCCCUUACAUUAAGCAUAUAACCCAAAUACACCCCAGGGGUAAAAUCGUCCAACUUUUUCCUCGUACACCGGACAGACCCAUCGCCUUCAUGACUUACCUUCGC
rnacentral:lncRNA from 1 species